rnacentral:lncRNA from 1 species
GCUUUUCUGAAACGGAAAUUCACAAUUAGUUUUCAAAUUUCCUUUCCUGACUAAAAAAAUGUCGAUUUAAUGCUUUUCUCGAUCCGUCUCUGAAUACGUGCAGCGCAUUAAUUGUUUGAAAUCAAGCUGUCUGGUAGCUACAUCAUGUACAUUUACAACUGUCAUCGUUAUGACGAGUAGAUAUAUUACCCGCUGAUAUAGUAUAAUACCCUAACAUCCAGUUAGAUAGUCAAACCAC